GAUGAACGCUGGCGGCGUGCUUAACACAUGCAAGUCGAGUGAGUGAGUUCUUCGGAACGAUAUAGCGGCGGACGGGUGAGUAACACGUGGGCAACCUGCCUCAUAGAGGGGGAUAGCCUACUGAAAGGGAGACUAAUACAGCAUAAAAUUAUCGAGUGGCAGCAAACGAUAAUCAAAGGAGUAAUACGCUAUGAGAUGGGCCCGCGUAGCAUUAGCUAGUUGGUGAGGUAACGGCAAACCAAGUAGACGACGGUUAGACGACCUGGGAGGGUGAUCGGCCACAUAGGGACUGAGACACGUCCCAGACUCCUGCGGGAGGCAGCGGUAGGGAAUAUUGCACAAUGGGGGAAACCCUGAUGCAGCAACGCCGCGUGAGUGAUGAAGGUCUUCGGAUUGUAAAGCUCUAGCUUUGGGGACGAUAAUGACGGUACCCAAGGAGGAAGCCACGGCUAACUACGUGCCAGCAGCCGCCGUAA
rnacentral:rRNA from 1 species